AUAAAUCCUACACUACCUAGGCAAAAUCCUGGAAACUGGAGAAGAAUAACUUCUAUACUUCUUAUUCAUGAAUGGGUGUUGAAUUCCUUUGUAAAGACAGGGGUACUUCAACCACGGAAGACAGCAGCCUAUAAUUUAAAGACAAUUAACCAGCAAAGGGAGUAAGUGUGAAAUGUGUAAUGAGAGAGUAGUAUUACUGCCA
rnacentral:misc_RNA from 1 species